UACGAAGGGGGCUAGCGUUGCUCGGAAUCACUGGGCGUAAAGCGCACGUAGGCGGGUCGUUAAGUCGGGGGUGAAAUCCUGGAGCUCAACUCCAGAACUGCCUUCGAUACUGGCGAUCUUGAGUCUGAGAGAGGUGAGUGGAAUUCCGAGUGUAGAGGUGAAAUUCGUAGAUAUUCGGAGGAACACCAGUGGCGAAGGCGGCUCACUGGCUCGACACUGACGCUGAGGUGCGAAAGCGUGGGGAGCAAACAGG
rnacentral:rRNA from 1 species